GGUGCUGUGGUGUAGUCGGUUAUCACGUUAGUCUUUAUCACUAAAGGUCCCCAGUUCGAGCAUGGGCAGUACCA
rnacentral:tRNA from 1 species